GAAAUUAAUGAGAAGAAAACAAAACAACUCGAAAACUACUGAAUAAUUAUGCAUUAAAACAGAAAACCAGCUGAAGGAGAAAGAAGAAUGAAAAAAUAGAUAUAGAAGUAUAUUGGAAAGAGGAGAUGGAUAGAGUUGUAUGAGAAUCCUGUUGGAGUAUGUACAAAGCAAGUGAGAAGUUUAGCUUAUGACAAGUACUUGACAUU
rnacentral:misc_RNA from 1 species